GUCUGGAGCCAGGGGUCUUGCCAUGAAGGACAUUCAAGCAGUUCUGAGGAGAGGCCCAAGUGAAGAGGAACCAGUUGCCAGCACCACCCUGUCAGCUAUGGCCCCUGCCUAUAUAAACAAUUUGAUUAAAAACAUAUAUUUAAAAAUUCAUCAGUACAUGUGAGAUAUGAUGAUUUAUCAUUGAAGAUUUAGGAUGAUGGGCAGAGAAAGGCAAUCUGUUUUGUCUAUUGUCCAAUCAGUGCACGUGAAGAUUUGUUACAGUAUCCAGAAAAGACUAAAAAAGACCAAGCCUGUUAAACAACUCCAUCAAAGAAAAACAAGGAAGCCAUCCAGCUUUGUUCUGGACUCAGCAGCUAAGAUGGCAUGAGCUUCAUCGUAAAGCAUAGUUCUAUGUCAUGUCUACUGGAUGAAUCCAAUGUGGCUGGUCCCUUAAUAAAAUAAGUUGUAACAUAAAUGAGACUGCACAUGUUUUCCUGUUUGGUGCUGAGAACAAAGCUGCCCAGUUAGAGAAAAUAUGAAUCCCACUGUUCCAUUGGCUCCUG
rnacentral:lncRNA from 1 species